rnacentral:rRNA from 1 species
AUGCAUAUUGAAAAGAAUGUGUGUGAUACUAUAUUUAACACACUUUUAGGAAUUGCUGGUAAAUCCAAAGAUAAUCUAAAUUCUCGAUAUGAUGUUAGAGAUCUAAAAAUAAGGAAAGAUCUUCAUCCUUAUGAAGUGGAAGGUAAAAUCUAUAUUCCUCGUGGCCCAUACUACUUGACUCCUGAGCAGAAGAAGAUAUUAUGUGAAUGGCUCAAAGGUGUUAAGUUUCUUGAUGGCUAUGCAUCAAAUAUAAGCUGUCGUGUAGAUGUUAAUGCAAAGAAGUUAGUUGGGCUAAAAAGCCAUGAUAAUCACAUCUUGCUGCAGCAAUUUCUUCCAAUAGCAAUUCGAGGAAUAUUCCCAGAAGGAGUUGUCAUAGCACUUACCCGUGUAAGCAAUUUCUUCAAGAGAAUUUAUUCUCCUGUUGUGCGCAUAAGUGAUAUGCAACAGCUUGAGGAAGAAAUAGCUAAGACAUUGUCCAUUUUAGAGACUAUAUUCCCACCUUCUUUUUUUGAUUCUAUGGUGCACUUGAUGGUUCAUCUUCCUAGCCAAGUUCAACUUGGUGGCACAGUGCAGUCCCGCAAUAUGUACCCAGUGGAGAGGUAUAAUUUAAAAAAACAUCUAUAUGAAAACAUGCAUUUAGUCUAUGCAUAA